rfam:Aerococcus viridans ATCC 11563 = CCTG 4311 strain ATCC 11563 contig00012, whole genome shotgun sequence.
GCGGGUGUAGUUUAGUGGUAAAACCAUAGCCUUCCAAGCUAUCGUCGCGAGUUCGAUUCUCGUCACCCGCU